rnacentral:rRNA from 1 species
UACGUAGGGCGCAAGCGUUGUCCGGAAUUAUUGGGCGUAAAGAGCUCGUAGGCGGUUUGUCGCGUCUGCUGUGAAAACUCGAGGCUCAACCUCGGGCUUGCAGUGGGUACGGGCAGACUAGAGUGCGGCAGGGGAGACUGGAAUUCCGUGGUGAUAGCGGUGGAAUGCGCAGAUAUCAGGAGGAACACCGGUGGCGAAGGCGGGUCUCUGGGCAGUAAC